rnacentral:rRNA from 1 species
GUCGAACGAGACUUUUUAUUUGAUGCUUGCAUCUUUUAAAAAGUUGAGUGGCGAACGGGUGAGUAACACGUGGGUAACCUGCCUUAAAGUGGGGGAUAACACUUGGAAACAGGUGCUAAUACCGCAUAACCAUCAAAACCGCCUGGUUUUGAUGUUAAAGAUGGUUCUGCUAUCGCUUUAAGAUGGACCCGCGGCGUAUUAGCUAGUUGGUGAGGUAAUGGCUUACCAAGGCAAUGAUACGUAGCCGAACUGAGAGGUUGAUCGGCCACAUUGGGACUGAGACACGGCCCAAACUCCUACGGGAGGCAGCAGUAGGGAAUCUUCCACAAUGGACGAAAGUCUGAUGGAGCAACGCCGCGUGAGUGAAGAAGGUUUUCGGAUCGUAAAACUCUGUUGUCAGAGAAGAACGUGUGUGAGAGUAACUGUUCACGCAGUGACGGUAUCUGACCAGAAAGUCACGGCUAACUACGUGCCAGCAGCCGCGGUAAUACGUAGGUGGCAAGCGUUGUCCGGAUUUAUUGGGCGUAAAGGGAACGCAGGCGGUCUUUUAAGUCUGAUGUGAAAGCCUUCGGCUUAACCGAAGUCGGGCAUUGGAAACUGGGAGACUUGAGUGCAGAAGAGGAGAGUGGAACUCCAUGUGUAGCGGUGAAAUGCGUAGAUAUAUGGAAGAACACCAGUGGCGAAAGCGGCUCUCUGGUCUGUAACUGACGCUGAGGUUCGAAAGCGUGGGUAGCAAACAGGAUUAGAUACCCUGGUAGUCCACGCCGUAAACGAUGAAUGCUAAGUGUUGGA